rnacentral:lncRNA from 1 species
GUGUUUAAAAUAGAAUUUCGAGCAAAGGAUAAAUUUUUUUACCUCUUUUGGCGAUCGGAAUUGGCUCUGGCGCAGCGAUAACAGCAAUUGACUUCCUUCCCAGUGACUGGGUCUUCUUCUCCGGGAGGGGAGAGGUCUAACGACUAAGGUUAGGACUUGGUGUGAAAAGGGUUAUUUAUAUCCAUCUCUUUUUAAUCUGAGUCGUUCAUUGUGAUUUGAUUUGAGCCGUCUGAUCACAUUUAAAUAGAAAGUAGAUCUGAAUCGUUCAUCAUAUUUAAUCGUG